rnacentral:rRNA from 1 species
AUUGAACGCUGGCGGCAGGCCUAACACAUGCAAGUCGAACGGUAACAGGAAACAGCUUGCUGUUUCGCUGACGAGUGGCGGACGGGUGAGUAAUCUCUGGGAAACUGCCUGAUGGAGGGGGAUAACUACUGGAAACGGUAGCUCAUACCGCAUAACGUCGUAAGAACAAAGCGGGGGACCGUAGGGCCUCUUGCCAUCGGAUGUGCCCAGAUGGGAGUAGAUAGUAGGUGGGGUAAGGGCUUACCUAGGCGACGAGCCCUAGCUGGUCUGAGAGGAUGACCAGCCACACUGGAACUGAGACACGGUCCAGACGCCUACGGGAGGCAGCAGUGGGGAAUAUUGCACAAUGGGCGCAAGCCUGAUGCAGCCAUGCCGCGUGGAUGAAGAAGGCCUUCGGGUUGUAAAGUACUUUCAGCGGGGAGGAAGGGAGUAAAGUUAAUACCUUUGCUCAUUGACGUUACCCGCAGAAGAAGCACCGGCUAACUCCGUGCCAGCCGCCGCGGUAA